rnacentral:rRNA from 1 species
UGGGGGAUAUUGCACAAUGGGGGAAACCCUGAUGCAGCGACGCCGCGUGAGCGAUGAAGUAUUUCGGUAUGUAAAGCUCUAUCAGCAGGGAAGAAAAUGACGGUACCUGACUAAGAAGCCCCGGCUAACUACGUGCCAGCAGCCGCGGUAAUACGUAGGGGGCAAGCGUUAUCCGGAUUUACUGGGUGUAAAGGGAGCGUAGACGGCUGUGCAAGUCUGAAGUGAAAGGCAGGGGCUCAACCCUUGGACUGCUUUGGAAACUGUGCAGCUUGAGUGUCGGAGAGGCAAGUGGAAUUCCUAGUG